AGCCAGACCAUUUUGCUUAGCACACAAACUGAUAUAUGGCAUGCACAUAGCAAGAUACAGAAGGCAUAAACUACAAGCAAGUAAACUAAAAAUGCAAAGAACCUCACGUAGUUUCCAUAAACAAAAAAGCAUGCCUAAGGUGCUCCACUGAUAUAGUGAAAUUAAGUCUUUUAAAGAAAAAAAAAUAAAAAAAGAGCCUAAUACUGACCCCAAACAUCAAACUGAGGCUGCUAGCGGAAGCUACAAUAUAAACACUACUUUCAAAUAUGAUAUGCCGCAAUAUGCCAAUAAUACUACCAAAAUUGAAUGCAAGAACAAGUGAUCAAUAGGCCCCAUCCCACAAGGAACUAAGGGAGAUUGAUUUGUUGUAUCAGAUCACAAAACAUAAAGGCAAAGCUACCAUAGCAUGCCAUAUCACACUGCCAUUCUAGUUCUACAAGUUGUCAAAAAUCAGUCUGGAUGGACUUUUAACAAAUGGCAAGCAUGCAGUGAGUAGAAAGCUACACAAACAAAAUACUGCUAAGCAUUAAGUCAUUAAAAAAACAAAAUCAGCAUCAAGCUUCACAUUUCUACUACUAUUCACAGCAACUAUAUGUUAUAUUUUAACAGUGGAAAAAAUAUCUGCCCAAAGAAAUCCUCAACCAAAAGAGAAGUAACUAUAACUUUAACUUCAACGAAAUUAGGUCUCUUUUACCCAAUAUUUCAAAGCAUAUAACUGUAACCCUUCAUUUGGUUAGCAAAACAGAAACAAGCCGAAUUGAGUUGGUGUGAAAAUUGCGUUCUAACAAUUUGUGAACUAGUAAUUCAAAUUUCAUUGUGGAAUAGCUACUCUGUGUAAUAAUUAUUCCAAAUUUAUAGCAUGAAGUAAAGUGGAAUAUAAUUAUUGUAAUCCCAUAAUAUUGCCGACUAGUCCAUGCACCAAAAAAGCCCAAGAUGAUGAACUAAGACCAAAAAAGCUACAAUACUAAGCUAAACGGUUUCGUCCAAUCCUACCCCGACUGGUUUCCCUGUAAACAAGGAGAACAUUAAUCAUAGACCAAAAUUUAUCUAGAUACAAAAAGAACAUGUUAUAAUUUUUCCCAUUUACAGAAACCAAAUAUCAUAAAUCAUUUCUGAAAAAAGAAAAUCACCGAAGAAUACCAAUUCACCAACGAAAAUGAUAGAAACCAUUAAUUUAAAAUUGGUGAAUAAAGAACA
rnacentral:misc_RNA from 1 species